GUCUCUUCGGAGACAUCCGAUAAAAUUGGAACGAUACAGAGAAGAUUAGCAUGGCUCCUGCGCAAGGAUGACACGCAUAAAUCGAAAAAUGGUCCAAAUUUCU
rnacentral:snRNA from 1 species